GUGGCGCUGUCCACCUUGACCUUAUCCUCCGUCCCACAGGUUGUGCCAACCCAAAGAGGUUUUAUUGUGUGACGGAUCCGAUGAUGAAGGGAAGCAGCUGAUCCAGGAGCUGCAGGAUGACGGCGUGUUACAUCCCCUGCCCAAAUAUGAGAACUGCUGGUUGGCCCGCACAGACCCCCGUGACGUGGCCCGAGUUGAGAGCAGGACGGUGCUGGUGACCCCAAAGCAGAGCGACGCCGUCCCCCCGCCCCCCAAGUCUGGGGCUGCCCCACAACUGGGCAACUGGAUGAGCCCCA